CCUACGGGGGGCUGCAGUGGGGAAUAUUGGACAAUGGGGGCAACCCUGAUCCAGCCAUGCCGCGUGUGUGAAGAAGGCCCGCGGGUUGUAAAGCACUUUCAGUGAGGAAGAACGCCUGGUGGUUAAUACCCCUCAGGAAAGACAUUACUCACAGAAGAAGCACCGGCUAACUCCGUGCCAGCAGCCGCGGUAAUACGGAGGGUGCGAGCGUUAAUCGGAAUUACUGGGCGUAAAGCGCGCGUAGGUGGCUUGAUAAGCCGGUUGUGAAAGCCCCGGGCUCAACCUGGGAACGGCAUCCGGAACUGUCAAGCUAGAGUGCAGGAGAGGAAGGUAGAAUUCCCGGUGUAGCGGUGAAAUGCGUAGCGAUCUGGAGGAAUACCAGUGGCGAAGGCGGCCUUCUGGACUGACACUGACACUGAGGUGCGAAAGCGUGGGUAGCACACAGGAUUAGAUACCCGUGUAGUC
rnacentral:rRNA from 1 species